ACUCAAAGGAAUAGACGGGGACUCGCACAAGUGGUGGAUUAUGUGGCUCAAUUCGAUGACAAACGAAGAACCUUACCAAGGUUAGAAAUCCAGCUGCAUUCCUAUCGAAAGACUGGAAGCCUUCGAGGGUGCUGGACAGGUGAUGCAUGGUCGUCGUCAGUUCGUGGUUUGAACUGUUCCCUUCAGUGGGGUAACGAACGCAACCCCCGUUGCCUGUUGCCUAUAUGGCCAGGCGAGACUGCUCCCUCACGGGAGAGGAAGGUGGGGAUGACGCCAGAUCAGCAUGUCCCUCUGAUACCUUGGGCCGCACCCAUAAUACAAUCGUCGGUACAAAAGGACGCAAGACCGUAAGGUGGAGCAAAUCCCCAAAACCGACGCCAGUACGGAUAGAGGUCUGCAAUCGACCUCUUGAAGCCGGAAUCACUAGUAAUCAUGGGUCAGCCAAACCAUGGUGAAUACGUUCUCGAGUCUUGUACACACCGCCCGU
rnacentral:rRNA from 1 species